UCUCCUGGAAAACGGGUGGUAAUGCCGGAUGCUCCAUCACACCGCAUGGUGUGUUGGGAAAGCCUUUGCGGCAUGGGAUGGGGUCGCGUCCUAUCAGCUUGAUGGCGGGGUAACGGCCCACCAUGGCUUCGACGGGUAGCCGGCCUGAGAGGGCGACCGGCCACAUUGGGACUGAGAUACGGCCCAGACUCCUACGGGAGGCAGCAGUGGGGAAUAUUGCACAAUGGGCGCAAGCCUGAUGCAGCGACGCCGCGUGAGGGAUGGAGGCCUUCGGGUUGUAAACCUCUUUUGUUAGGGAGCAAGGCAUUUUGUGUUGAGUGUACCUUUCGAAUAAGCACCGGCUAACUACGUGCCAGCAGCCGCGGUAAUACGUAGGGUGCAAGCGUUAUCCGGAAUUAUUGGGCGUAAAGGGCUCGUAGGCGGUUCGUCGCGUCCGGUGUGAAAGUCCAUCGCUUAACGGUGGAUCCGCGCCGGGUACGGGCGGGCUUGAGUGCGGUAGGGGAGACUGGAAUUCCCGGUGUAACGGUGGAAUGUGUAGAUAUCGGGAAAGAACACCA
rnacentral:rRNA from 1 species